rnacentral:lncRNA from 1 species
AUCCAAUUUACAAAUUGUCAGAAAACCUCCAAAAAUUGCAUUGAUGUCACUCAACUGCCAACUUGAAAAAUGAAGCAAAAAUCCUAGCAGUGAUUUCUCCCUUUCCAAUCAUUAACUUUGACUCAAAAUUGGUGUGUAGCUUGAUCUUCAAGUCCUUCAAUACCAUGCCAAAUUUCAUCUUGAUUCAAUUAAUACAUCUCUAAAUAUCAUAGAAAUCCUACCCA